rnacentral:rRNA from 1 species
UGCUGGAUGCUGACGAGCGGCGGACGGGUGAGUAAUGCAUAGGAAUCUGCCCGAUAGUGGGGGAUAACCUGGGGAAACCCAGGCUAAUACCGCAUACGUCCUACGGGAGAAAGGGGGCUUCGGCUCCCGCUAUCGGAUGAGCCUAUGUCGGAUUAGCUAGUUGGUGAGGUAAAGGCUCACCAAGGCAACGAUCCGUAGCUGGUCUGAGAGGAUGAUCAGCCACAUCGGGACUGAGACACGGCCCGAACUCCUACGGGAGGCAGCAGUGGGGAAUAUUGGACAAUGGGGGCAACCCUGAUCCAGCCAUGCCGCGUGUGUGAAGAAGGCCCUCGGGUUGUAAAGCACUUUCAGCGAGGAAGAACGCCUAGCGGUUAAUACCCGCUAGGAAAGACAUCACUCGCAGAAGAAGCACCGGCUAACUCCGUGCCAGCAGCCGCGGUAAUACGGAGGGUGCAAGCGUUAAUCGGAAUUACUGGGCGUAAAGCGCGCGUAGGUGGCUUGAUAAGCCGGUUGUGAAAGCCCCGGGCUCAACCUGGGAACGGCAUCCGGAACUGUCAAGCUAGAGUGCAGGAGAGGAAGGUAGAAUUCCCGGUGUAGCGG